GCGAACGCUGGCGGCGUGCUUAACACAUGCAAGUCGAACGGUGAAGCGCCUUCCUUUUUGGUGGGUGUGGAUGAGUGGCGAACGGGUGAGUAACACGUGAGUAACCUGCCCCCUUCUUCUGGAUAACCGCAUGAAAGUGUGGCUAAUACGGGAUAUUCUGGGUCUGUCGCAUGAUGGGUCUGGGAAAGAUAUUGUUUCGGUGGGGGAUGGGCUCGCGGCCUAUCAGCUUGUUGGUGGGGUGAUGGCCUACCAAGGCGGUGACGGGUAGCCGGCCUGAGAGGGUGGACGGUCACACUGGGACUGAGACACGGCCCAGACUCCUACGGGAGGCAGCAGUGGGGAAUAUUGCACAAUGGGCGCAAGCCUGAUGCAGCGACGCCGCGUGAGGGAUGGAGGCCUUCGGGUUGUGAACCUCUUUCGCCAGUGAAGCAGGCCUGCCUCGUUUGUGGGUGGGUUGACGGUAGCUGGAUAAGAAGCGCCGGCUAACUACGUG
rnacentral:rRNA from 1 species